AUUGAACGCUGGCGGCCGGCCUAACACAUGCAAGUCGAGCGAGCGGCGGACGGGUGAGUAAUGUAUGGGGACUGCCCGAUAGAGGGGGAUAACUACUGGAAACGGUGGCUAAUCCCGCAUACUAUCGGAUACCCCUUAUUGGAUUAGCUAGUAGGUGGGGUAAAGGCUCACCUAGGCGACGAUCUCUAGCUGGUCUGAGAGGAUGACCAGCCACACUGGGACUGAUACACGGCCCAGACUCCUACGGAGGCAGCAGUUGGGAAUAUUGCACAAUGGGCGCAAGCCUGAUGGAGCCAUGCCGCGUGUAUGAAGAAGGCCUUAGGGUUGUAAAGUACUUUCAGCGGGGAGGCGUUACCCGCAGAAGAAGCACCGGCUAACUCCGUGCCAGCCGCCGCGGUAAUUC
rnacentral:rRNA from 1 species